rnacentral:rRNA from 1 species
GAUGAACGCUGGCUACAGGCUUAACACAUGCAAGUCGAGGGGAAACGACGGGGAAGCUUGCUUCCCCGGGCGUCGACCGGCGCACGGGUGAGUAACGCGUAUCCAACCUGCCUCUGACUGAGGGAUAACCCGUCGAAAGUCGGCCUAAUACCUCAUGGCAUCGUCUGCGGGCAUCCAACGACGAUUAAAGAUUUCAUCGGUCAGGGAUGGGGAUGCGUCUGAUUAGCUUGUUGGCGGGGUAACGGCCCACCAAGGCUACGAUCAGUAGGGGUUCUGAGAGGAAGGUCCCCCACAUUGGAACUGGGACACGGUCCAAACUCCUACGGGAGGCAGCAGUGAGGAAUAUUGGUCAAUGGGCGGGAGCCUGAACCAGCCAAGUAGCGUGCAGGAUGACGGCCCUAUGGGUUGUAAACUGCUUUUAUGCGGGGAUAAAGUGAGGGACGUGUCCUUCAUUGCAGGUACCGCAUGAAUAAGGACCGGCUAAUUCCGUG